rnacentral:rRNA from 1 species
AUGGGAGCCCGAGCGCCGCGGGCUCCGCGUGCCGGAGCAGCCGGAGUGGCCGUUCGACGGCGAGCACGCCAGUGGGACGCCGAGGGCCAAGAGGCGGCGGCGAACUUCCAUGCGCGGCAAGAGCGGGUGGGUGGCCGGAGUCGGGGACAGCAGGCACAACGGCGUGGCAGCGUCGCCCGGGACGCGCGCAACCAUCGGCAACCUCUGAAGCGGUGCGUCGCCGACAGCCUCAACAACCGCUGGAGUCCGAUGCUGCAGCGGCACGGCCCUGACGGUUCCAACCUCCUGAGGCGCUGCUACCAUCGGGUCAAACUACCCAUCCAUGCGCUGAGCACCAAAACGGCGGUGGCGGAGCCACCAGUGUCGGAUCGAUGCCCCCAUCGGCCUCGAGCCUUGGUGCAGCCGGACCGGCGAGAAGCCGGGCGGGCACGUCGGGCUGCACGGGCUGGUUCGAGUGCCCCGCGCCGUGCCGGUGGUUGA